rnacentral:rRNA from 1 species
UGGGGAAUAUUGGACAAUGGGCGAAAGCCUGAUCCAGCCAUGCCGCGUGUGUGAAGAAGGUCUUCGGAUUGUAAAGCACUUUAAGUUGGGAGGAAGGGCAUUAACCUAAUACGUUAGUGUUUUGACGUUACCGACAGAAUAAGCACCGGCUAACUCUGUGCCAGCAGCCGCGGUAAUACAGAGGGUGCAACCGUUAAUCGGAAUUACUGGGCGUAAAGCGCGCGUAGGUGGUUUGUUAAGUUGGAUGUGAAAUCCCCGGGCUCAACCUGGGAACUGCAUUCAAAACUGACUGACUAGAGUAUGGUAGAGGGUGGUGGAAUUUCCUGUGUAGCGGUGAAAUGCGUAGAUAUAGGAAGGAACACCAGUGGCGAAGGCGACCACCUGGACUAAUACUGACACUGAGGUGCGAAAGCGUGGGGAGCAAACA